AGUUGCCUCAAAUUCUCAAACACUACAUCUUUCCCUUGAUAACCCUCUCCAAAAUCCUUUUCUGGAUCUGGGGCAUAAAGCAUGGGAGGCAUUGU